rnacentral:rRNA from 1 species
UGGGGAAUUUUGGGCAAUGGGGGAAACCCUGACCCAGCAACGCCGCGUGAAGGAUGAAGUAUUUCGGGUUGUAAAGCUCUUUUGUCAGGGACGAUGAUGACGGUACCUGACGAAUAAGCACCGGCUAACUCUGUGCCAGCAGCCGCGGUAAUACAGAGGGUGCAAGCGUUAAUCGGAAUGACUGGGCGUAAAGGGCGCGUAGGUGGAUGCGUGAGUAAAUUGUGAAAGACCCGGGCUUAACCUGGGAAGGUCAAUUUAAACGGCGUAUCUAGAGUGGAGUAGAGGGAAGUAGAAUUUCCGGUGUAGCGGUGAAAUGCGUAGAUAUCGGAAGGAAUACCGGUGGCGAAGGCGUCUCCCUGGACUCUAACUGACACUGAGGCGCGAAAGCAUGGGGAUCAAACAGGAUUAGAUACCCACGUAGUCCCUGAGCGGGCUGGCAAGGCGCAU